rnacentral:lncRNA from 1 species
GAAAGUUGAGAGUCACAAAGGGAGAGAAGAGAGAAGGCAGCAGCUGGGAGGCUUUGGGGUCUUGGCAGCCAUGAGGAUGAAGCUUUUCCAUCUCUAGCUUGCUAUCCCUAUCUUCUUCUCUUUCCUCUGCCUUUUAUUUUCUUCUUGUAUUUCCUCAGUUUUAUUUUGUUUUAAUAAUUGCCAUGAUGAUUUUAAGUUUUUGAAGUUUGAUUGGUUUCCAAGUUUCAAUUUUAGUUCUCUUGUUCUUAUUCACCCUAGGGUCGUGACUACAUUUGCCCCCUUAUUUUCUCUUUUUCUUUUCAACAUAAUUUUUUUUUUCUACCUCAUUUGUUGCCUUGAAUACAUUAGAAUCUCAAAUGCAAUCAUGCUCUACAUGAUGAAUACAUUAGAAUCUCAAAUGCAAC